rnacentral:rRNA from 1 species
UGCCAGCAGCCGCGGUAAUACGGAGGGUGCAAGCGUUACUCGGAAUCACUGGGCGUAAAGCGCUCGUAGGUGGCUUUGUAAGUCAGAUGUGAAAGCCCACGGCUCAACCGUGGAAUUGCAUUUGAUACUGCAUCGCUAGAGUAUAGGAGAGGGAAGUGGAAUUUCUGGUGUAGGAGUGAAAUCCGUAGAGAUCAGAAGGAAUACCGAUUGCGAAGGCGAUCUACUGGAACAUUAUUGACGCUGAGACGCGAAAGCGUGGGGUGCAAACAGGAUUAGAUA